UGGGGAAUUUUGGACAAUGGGCGAAAGCCUGAUCCAGCAAUGCCGCGUGUGUGAAGAAGGCCUUCGGGUUGCAAAAGCACUUUUUGUCCGGAAAAGAAAUCCUUGGCUCUAAUACAGUCGGGGGAUGACGAUACCGGAAGAAUAAGCACCGGCUAACUACGUGCCAGCAGCCGCGGUAAUACGUAGGGUGCAAAGCGUUAAUCGGAAUUACUGGGCGUAAAGCGUGCGCAGGCGGUUUGCUAAGACCGAUGUGAAAUCCCCGGGCUCAACCUGGGAACUGCAUUGGUGACUGGCAGGCUAGAGUAUGGCAGAGGGGGGUAGAAUUCCACGUGUAGCAGUGAAAUGCGUAGAGAUGUGGAGGAAUACCGAUGGCGAAGGCAGCCCCCUGGGCCAAUACUGACGCUCAUGCACGAAAAGCGUGGGGAGCAAAACAGGAUUAGAUACCCUGGUAGUCCACGCCCUAAAACGAUGUCAACUAGUUGUUGGGGAUUCAUUUUCCUUAGUAACGUAGCUAAACGCGUGAAGUUGACCGCCUGGGGGAGUACGGUCGCAAGAUUAAAACUCAAAUGAAUUGACGGGGUCAUAGCUGUUUCCU
rnacentral:rRNA from 1 species